CCCUUAGAUGUCCUGGGCCGCACGCGCGUUACACUGAUGCAUUCAACGAGCUUAUAACCUUGGCCGAGAGGCCUGGGCAAUCUUGUUAACGUGCAUCGUGAUAGGGAUAGAUUAUUGAAAUUAUUAAUCUUGAACGAGGAAUUCCUAGUAAACGCAGAUCAUCAAUCUGCAUUGAUUACGUCCCUGCCCUUUGUACACACCGCCCGUCGCACCUACCGAUUGAAUGUUCCGGUGAGCUCUUCGGACUGCGCGGUCUGCAGUUUCUGCGUUCCGUGCGGAAAGUUGUGCAAACCUUAACAUUUAGAGGAAGGAGAAGUCGUAACA
rnacentral:rRNA from 1 species